UAGGGAAUAUUGGACAAUGGGCGCAAGCCUGAUCCAGCCAUCCCGCGUGAAGGAUUAAGGCCCUAUGGGUUGUAAACUUCUUUUCUCUGGGAAUAAAAAGCGGGGUUCACCCUGCCUUGAAGGUAUCAGAGGAAUAAGCACCGGCUAACUCCGUGCCAGCAGCCGCGGUAAUACGGAGGGUGCAAGCGUUAUCCGGAUUCACUGGGUUUAAAGGGAGCGUAGGUGGCUUUGUAAGUCAGUGGUGAAAUGUCGCAGCUUAACUGCGAAACUGCCAUUGAUACUGCUUAGCUUGAAUCACGUCGAGGUGGAUGGAAUAUUACAUGUAGCGGUGAAAUGCUUAGAUAUGUAAUAGAACACCGAUUGCGAAGGCAGUUCACUAGGCGUGUAUUGACACUGAGGC
rnacentral:rRNA from 1 species